CAGCCGCCGCGGGAAUACAGAGGGUGCAAGCGUCAAUCGGAAUUACUGGGCGUAAAGCGCGCGUAGGUGGUUUGUUAAGUUGGAUGUGAAAUCCCCGGGCUCAACCUGGGAACUGCAUCCAAAACUGGCAAGCUAGAGUAUGGUAGAGGGUGGUGGAAUUUCCUGUGUAGCGGUGAAAUGCGUAGAUAUAGGAAGGAACACCAGUGGCGAAGGCGACCACCUGGACUGAUACUGACACUGAGGUGCGAAAGCGUGGGGAGCAAACAGGAUUAGAUACCCCAGUAGUCCCUGUCUCUUAUAC
rnacentral:rRNA from 1 species